CAGUAGAUAACUUCAUUAGAAAUAAAUUGAAAUCAAACAAAUCAUGCAUCGACAAUAUGCUGUCUGGGUUAGCAGCUCUCAAGAUUGUGGUUAUUUUGUUGUAUUACUUUCUCUUGAUGGCAUUUGUCAGUUAUCCGUUGACUUUAUCAAAGUGUGAAGAAGUUUGAGAGUAAUUACAGGCUAUCAAGCUGCCCGCUGCUGCGUGUGAAGUCAUUACUAUAAUCAGGUCACAAAAGCUUUUCUCUUUUACUGUUCAACUCUCAGAAUUCCAGGAGAUUCCCUGGAGUGCACGGGAUAUCUGAAAGGCAAGAUAUAAUGGCAAAGAUUUCUUUAGGGUUCCUUAGUGGUGUUUAGCAUUAGUGUGUGAUUAAUUGUAUUGAACAGAAGAAAACUAUAGCCUACUAACUGUAGUGUUGGCCUCUUUUUGUCUUUUUAUGAUCUCACAAGCCUUUCUACAUAAUUGAUAUGCCUUUAUGGUAUGGGAUUCUUUGCGUGGUGAUGUCUGAUGAUCAUUUCAAGCAAAAACAGGGGACAUCGGGGAGCGCGGUGAACAUGGAGCCAGAGGAGAAAGAGGAGAUAGAGGAUCAGACGGUUUACCUGGUCUGGCUGGGAAAAAAGGCGAUACAGGAGAGAGAGUGAGUGACAGAAAGUAUAUUUGCAUGUGGUUGAAGGUAUAUUUU
rnacentral:lncRNA from 1 species